rnacentral:tRNA from 19 species
GGGGAUAUGGCGAAAUCGGUAGA